rnacentral:rRNA from 1 species
AUCUCGCGGCCUAUCAGCUUGUUGGUGAGGUAAUGGCUCACCAAGGCGACGACGGGUAGCCGGCCUGAGAGGGCGACCGGCCACACUGGGACUGAGACACGGCCCAGACUCCUACGGGAGGCAGCAGUGGGGAAUAUUGCACAAUGGGCGAAAGCCUGAUGCAGCGACGCCGCGUGAGGGAUGACGGCCUUCGGGUUGUAAACCUCUUUCAGCAGGGAAGAAGCGAAAGUGACGGUACCUGCAGAAGAAGCGCCGGCUAACUACGUGCCAGCAGCCGCGGUAAUACGUAGGGCGCAAGCGUUGUCCGGAAUUAUUGGGCGUAAAGAGCUCGUAGGCGGUCUGUCGCGUCGGAUGUGAAAGCCCGGGGCUUAACCCCGGGUCUGCAUUCGAUACGGGCAGACUAGAGUGUGGUAGGGGAGAUCGGAAUUCCUGGUGUAGCGGUGAAAUGCGCAGAUAUCAGGAGGAACACCGGUGGCGAAGGCGGAUCUCUGGGCCAUUACUGACGCUGAGGAGCGAAAGCGUGGGGAGCGAACAGGAUUAGAUACCCUGGUAGUCCACGCCGUAAACGGUGGGAACUAGGUGUUGGCGACAUUCCAUGUCGUCGGUGCCGCAGCUAACGCAUUAAGUUCCCCGCCUGGGGAGUACGGAAGCUUGGAAUUCG